rnacentral:rRNA from 1 species
GACGUAGGGCGCGAGCGUUGUCCGGAUUUACUGGGCGUAAAGAGCUCGUAGGCGGCUCAUUGCGUCAACCGUGAAAACCUGCCGCUCAACGGUAGGCUUGCGGUUGAUACGGGUGGGCUGGAGUUCGGUAGGGGAGACUGGAAUUCCUGGUGUAGCGGUGAAAUGCGCAGAUAUCAGGAGGAACACCGGUGGCGAAGGCGGGUCUCUGGGCCGAUACUGACGCUGAGGCGCGAAAGCUAGGGGAGCAAACGGG